GAUGAACGCUGGCGGCGUGCCUAAUACAUGCAAGUCGAGCGAACGGACGAGAAGCUUGCUUCUCUGAUGUUAGCGGCGGACGGGUGAGUAACACGUGGAUAACCUACCUAUAAGACUGGGAUAACUUCGGGAAACCGGAGCUAAUACCGGAUAAUAUUUUGAACCGCAUGGUUCAAAAGUGAAAGACGGUCUUGCUGUCACUUAUAGAUGGAUCCGCGCUGCAUUAGCUAGUUGGUAAGGUAACGGCGUACCAAGGCAACGAUGCAUAGCCGACCUGAGAGGGUGAUCGGCCACGAUGGAACUGAGACACGGUCCAGACUCCUACGGGAGGCAGCAGUAGGGAAUAUUCCGCAAUGGGCGAAAGCCUGACGGAGCAACGCCGCGUGAGUGAUGAAGGUCUUCGGAUCGUAAAACUCUGUUAUUAGGGAAGAACAUAUGUGUAAGUAACUGUGCACAUCUUGACGGUACCUAAUCAGAAAGCCACGGCUAACUACGUG
rnacentral:rRNA from 1 species